AGUUGAUGCUCAGAAUUGAUCCUUGGACUAAAAUGGAUUUGUUUAGGAGGAUAUUUUUUAUGUAGCUGGCCUAGGAAUCUGGAAGGCGCGUCUGACAACUUUUUCACAAAUAACGAUUCGUCGCGCGUGCACGCUUUUGAUACGGACGCUGGUAAAAUGGCAAAACAUCUUCUUGAUGCUGUUUUAUUGAUUAUGUGUAUGGUAAACAUUUUCACCGAGGGUGCACCAUUGUCCGGGACGUUUGAGAGUCAAGACGCGCAACUGCCCUCUUCUGCUGAGUUUUCUUCUGAUGCCCUGAACGGUGUUUUACAUCAGCAGACUGAAACAGCGCUCAAUGACACAUCACACACUCGCGUGAGAUCCAAACGCUGCACCUGCUACUCUUACAGCGACGUGGAGUGUGUCUAUUACUGUCACCUGGGCAUCAUCUGGAUCAACACUCCACAGCGCACAGUUCUAUACGGCCUGUCUAGUUACCGCAGCCCUCUGCGAUUGAGACGCUCCAGUGGCACAAUUGGGUUUGUGCUUCAUCGCUGCACAUGUGCAGACCACAACGAUGUGUUAUGCCACAACUUCUGUGAUUCAAGAACACAGAACAGAGUACCAGACAGAAUUGAAAGGACAAUCCCCUGAGUAAAAAAUCUUCACUUCUCGAGAGAUCUGGACUCAUGAUUAACAUGGCACCUUUCUAGGCACAGGUUUUGAAUUUUACAGACUAUGAUUUGGAGCAGCAGCUACCCGACAUUCCUCACCAUGCAUUUCCUGGAACACUCUUGACUCAUCUGGUCCACGGUACCAAGUGCAUUCUUCAGAAAAUACAUUGCAGAUGAAGCAUGUCUUUAAGACCCGAAUCUUUGCUUCAAGGAAAUCUAGAGAAUCUCCAGAUGUCAUGUGCAGCUUUAAGAGAGCCUUUAGAGCCUUCUUUCACAGUUUCUUGGCCAGAUGACCUUUCCUUCUCCUGGAUCUCUUCUGAGCUUCCGAAGUUUUGUCUGUAAAACAUAUUCAUAUAUACCCCCAUUUUCUGAUGAAUAUUUCUGUUUUCUUCCCAACAAUAAACAUGUUUCUAUCAUUGUUCACAUUUGUAGUACUCUGCAAAAGUCUCAGGCACAUUAGAUGGUUCACAGAAACAUUUGUCUUAAGAUGGUUAUUUUCUAUCUUUUGCUUUAGUGUGUCAGUAGGAAAUAUCAGUUUUAGAUUUUAACAUCUUUAGCACAUAGAACAAGAAGCCAUACUAUAAAUCUGGGAUUAUAUGAAGCAAUUAAGGCAACCUAAAUCCAUAGAACUGUGUCAAGUUUUUCAUGAAUCUUGGAACACCCUACCUGCCAACAUUGUUGAAAAACUUUGUGCAAGUGUACCUAGGAGAAUUUGUGUGGUUUUAAAGGCAAAGCAUGGUCACACCAAAUAUUUAUUUAGCUUUUUUAUGUUUACUGCACUUUGUAUGAAGGUAUCUGAUUAAUAAAAGCUAUUAUGACAUUAUUUUUGAAAACACACUUUACAGCAUUUUUCAGAAAUGCCUAAAACCUUUACACAGUACUGUAUAUUAAACUUUUCAUAAACAGUUUAAAGCAGUUCAGAAACUUUUCAGGAUUAAUUUUAAAAGCUAAUACAUUGACACCAUCUUCUGGACAAU